rnacentral:rRNA from 1 species
GUAGUCACGAGUUUGAUCAUGGCUCAGAUUGAACGCUGGCGGAAUGCUUACACAUGCAAGUCGAACGGUAGAGGGGGCGAACCCCUUGAGAGUGGCGAACGGGUGAGUAAUAUAUCGGAACGUGCCCAGUCGUGGGGGAUAACGUAGCGAAAGUUACGCUAAUACCGCAUACGAUCUAAGGAUGAAANCGGGGGACCGUAAGGCCUCGCGCGAUUGGAGCGGCUGAUAUCAGAUUAGGUUGUUGGUGAGGUAAAAAGCUCACCAAGCCGACGAUCUGUAGCUGGUUUGAGAGAACGACCAGCCACACUGGGACUGAGACACGGCCCAGACUCCUACGGGAGGCAGCAGUGGGGAAUUUUGGACAAUGGGCGAAAGCCUGAUCCAGCAAUGCCGCGUGCAGGAAGAAGGCCUUCGGGUUGUAAACUGCUUUUGUACGGAACGAAACGGUGAGCUCUAAUACAGUUUGCUAAUGACGGUACCGUAAGAAUAAGCACCGGCUAACUACGUG